AGUGGCGCACGGGUGAGUAACGCGUAGACAAUCUGCCCUUCAGUCCGGGACAACUUUCCGAAAGGGGAGCUAAUACCGGAUAACAAUGUUUAACAUAAGUUUAAUAUUUGAAAGCUCCGGCGCUGAUGGAUGAGUCUGCGUCCCAUUAGCUUGUUGGUGCGGUAGUGGCGCACCAAGGCUACGAUGGGUAGCGGGUUUGAGAGGACGAUCCGCCACACUGGAACUGAGACACGGUCCAGACUCCUACGGGAGGCAGCAGUGGGGAAUAUUGCACAAUGGAGGAAACUCUGAUGCAGCAAUGUCGCGUGAGUGAAGAAGGCCCUUGGGUCGUAAAGCUCUUUUAUGGGGGAAGAUAAUGACGGUACCCCAGGAAUAAGCACCGGCUAACUACGUGCCAGCAGCCGCGGUAAUACGUAGGGUGCGAGCGUUGUUCGGAAUUACUGGGCGUAAAGGGCGCGCAGGCGGAGGUGUAAGUCGGAGGUGAAAGCCCGGGGCUCAACCCCGGAGGGUCUUUCGAAACUGCAUCUCUAGAGAGGGUCAGGGGCCGGCAGAAUUCCUGGUGUAGAGGUGAAAUUCGUAGAUAUCAGGAGGAAUACCGGUGGCGAAAGCGGCCGGCUGGGGCCACUCUGACGCUGAGGCGCGAAAGCGUGGGGAGCAAACAGGAUUAGAUACCCUGGUAGUCCACGCCGUAAACGAUGAGCACUGGACGUCCGGAAGGUUCGACCCUUCUGGGUGUUUCAGCUAACGCAUUAA
rnacentral:rRNA from 1 species